UGUAACAGCAGCGAACACACACAAACCAGCAACAUACACAUACACACAAGUCACCAACAUAUAUACACACAAGUCAGCAACAUGCAUACAAACAAGUCAGCCCCAGUUAGUGUUGGUGAUCGAGUUCCCCUUUCGUGGAAAGGAUGGAGUUACCUGGACCCCCCCACUCCUGUGGACUCACCAACACGGUCCGGUUAAGGCAAUACAGCUUGCUAGUGUUGCCCCGUUACUGGCAUUUCAAUCGGAUUUCUGGGAAAGGCUGAGCUUGAUGGACGCUUCUCUUUUUUCACUCACACUAACACACACCUAGACACAUAUUUAUAGUGUAAGAUUUGGAGCACCAGUGUUGCCGGAACCUGUUAGGCACUAAUUACCUCAGGACAGUCAGAGACAAGAAGUCCAAGUUCCAUAAAAAACCUGAUUAGUGUUCAAAAAGGCUUAAUAUACAUUUAUUGACUCAGAACUUUACAUAAAAUAUUGUACACAAAAUGUAGCCUUUUUUUUUAACUUCCCCUCCCUGAUAGAAUUGUGUUGCUAGGCAGUGAUGUCAUAAUGAUGACUGCCAGGUGAUGUCAUAAUGCAGACUCUCAAUAACAGUGAGCCAACAUUCAUCUUUCACACAUCAGAGGAAGAUAACAUACAGCUACAGCAUAUGUAACGAACAGCAGCCAACACACACGCCAAUCAGCAACAUACAUACAAGCAAAACACAA